AGCAUCGCUGGAGUGUUAUGUAUGAUCAAACUCAACAAAUAUCAACCAGUGCAACGAUGUUAUUCAUUGCAACACUGGUCAAUCAUGUUUCCAUGAUUUGUCAACAGUUGGACAGAAUCAGAUGUAUUCAUUAGGAUGCAUUGACAAACAUCAAUGUGGUACUCAUAGAGGAGUUGCGACAGGAUUUGUUGGCCGUGGUUUACAUGGACAACAUAAUGACUGUCAUGAGUGUUGCAGCUCAGAUAGAUGCAAUAAACCACUUUGUGAACAUUUUAAACGUAUGAUUGUUUUAACUUU